CAAGACCUCGCGCUAUUAGAGCGGCCGAUGUCCGAUUAGCUAGUUGGUGGGGUAAAGGCCUACCAAGGCAACGAUCGGUAGCUGGUCUGAGAGGAUGAUCAGCCACACUGGGACUGAGACACGGCCCAGACUCCUACGGGAGGCAGCAGUGGGGAAUUUUGGACAAUGGGCGCAAGCCUGAUCCAGCCAUGCCGCGUGAGUGAAGAAGGCCUUCGGGUUGUAAAGCUCUUUCGGCCGGAACGAAAUCGUCCGGGCUAAUACCCCGGAUGGAUGACGGUACCGGAAGAAGAAGCACCGGCUAACUACGUGCCAGCAGCCGCGGUAAUACGUAGGGUGCAGGCGUUAAUCGGAAUUACUGGGCGUAAAGCGUGCGCAGGCGGCUUCCUAAGUCAGAUGUGAAAUCCCCGGGCUUAACCUGGGAACU
rnacentral:rRNA from 1 species